GGGGAUCGGCGCGCCGGCGCUGAUCCAGUGCAGCAAGGGCCCGUUCAACAAGUUCCAGCUAUACCAGAUAUACGUCUGCGUCGCGGAGGACGCCAAGACGUUCGUGGAGUGCCCCAGCCCGAGGAAGCCGUACACCUGCGGCGACGACAUCCUCUUCCACCCUUUCAAGAAGUGGAUGCUCAAGACCAACUCCACCAAAUCCUACGCCGCC
rnacentral:misc_RNA from 1 species